rnacentral:sRNA from 1 species
GAAUUAUUUUUUACUGAUUGAAGGCGAAUUAACAAGUUUAAUUUUUGUAUAUUUGCUUCGACCCAAUGGAGAUAAAGUUGGCAUUUGAGAUUCUUGUGAACUGUUGGAUAUUCCUGAGUCACUUCGGUUAAUUCUGUAUCUUGCCUGUUCAAUGGACUGAAGAUCAAAACUGCAACCUCCAUGUGUCCCGCAAGGACUCAACUCUGAUGGCGAUCGUCAAUGGACACCACCCUCUAACUGCCCCAAUUCUGGUGGAAAUAACUUGUCAAAAUUCAAAAGAGUAGUUCAAAAUAGAAAUAAACUACUAUCCAAGUUUGAACAAAUUUGAAUUAUUUUUUCUCAUUAAAAAAAAAUCACAUAAAACACUCGAAUUUCGGCCUCCUAAACUGGUUUCCCCCCUUAAUAUAUAAUUUUCAAAUAACGAGCAAUUUUAUUACUAGCUGUUAAAGAACUGUGAGUAUUAAAUGUUUAUAAUCCAUUAAAAACGUUCGGCCCGGAUCCCUUUGAAAAAAAAUGCAAAUGGGAAAAGGUUAUUAAAACUUUCUUGUGUUAUCAUGUUCUUCUAAUAAUAAAAAUAUUGAAUUUCGUAGCUCUUUUACUCUGGUUAAAUACAUUGAUCCGAACCUGGAUUACCCUGAAUACCCUUCAAUUGUUAUUAAGCAUCAGCGACUCUGCUUUUUAUUCUUUUUACUAUUUAUUCUUUUGGUCGAAAUCCCCAGAGUUAAAAUAGAUACAUGGGACUUAUAUUUUUCGUAUUUUAUGAACUUUCUGUAUGCCUUUUCAGAUAGUAUUAUAUGUUUGGAGGACCUCCUGAGUCCAUAUAAGCAUGUUUGUCUGUCCGUCGAGCUGUCUGAAGUCCAUAUAAGCAUGUCUGUUCAUCGGUCUGUCUGAAAUUAUUUUGAUUAUGACAUUUUCAUAAGGAUCGGAUAAAACUAUCCGAUAAUAAAAUACUUUAAACGUCAUUAUCUUUUGUUCAAAAACGAUUAGUGCGUAUAUAAACUCAACAUUAAUGGGUG